ACUACUCAAGUGCAACUUACUGAAGUGGUUUUUGAGAGGAUAAACAAUGUAUUAAGAAAAAGAAGUAACGACAUUGCAAAAUAACAGAGCUUCAUUUCACUUUGAAAUGACAAACCAGUGACACGUCAAAUACCCUUCAUUUACCACAAACCUUGUAGUAUUUUUCCGCAGGAAACAAAUACAAAUGCACGUCCGUGUAGGCUAUUGCAACAGGUUUUAAUGACUAGGCGUUGACCCAUAAGAAACACCAGCUAUUUUUUUGAACAAGUGGGCGGUGUGAGUUUAUACUUCCUUUGCCUUACCACUAGAAACUGUUUAUCAUCUAAACAGGCCUUGUUUUUUAAAAGCCAAUUUUUAAAAAACAAAGAGGUAUUCGCAUUCCUCAGAAACGUUUGAGGAUGUCAUAAUAUAUGAAAAAGGUCUGUGUAAACCAUAAAAACAUGCAAGCCAGCAUCAGUAGACAUGACUGUGCAUGCUCUGAAGGAUGCAAUUAAAGGGACAGGUCACUCAAAAAUGAAACUGAGUCAUUCUCAUGGUUUCCAAACCUGAAUGACUUCAGAGACUUCAAAAAGAGACUUCAGGUAGAAUAUUAUCGACUGACAGUCAGCAUUCACUUCCAUUGUAUCUUAUGCCAUUCAAUGAAAGAUGAAUGGAGACUGGGACUCAUCUCAUUUCGUGUUUCACAGCAAAAAGAAACUCAUACAGGUUUCGAACAACAUGAGGACGAGUCAAUAAUGACGACGUUCUAAUUUUUGUGCCAUCCUUCUGAAAUACACACGCGCGCGAGCGCCCAGGUGCUUCAUUUCAGGAUCACAGACAGGGGAACCGAAACGGUCAGCAGUGCUUCCAGGAAGCGUCACCGGGGAGCACGCGCGCCGACAGACAGAGGAAUGCAGCAGCGUCCGCGACUCUCCGUCAGGCAGCCGCGAAACUAGAAGGUUCGCAGGCAGCGUGCGUGGCUCGGAGUGCGCGACGGGGUUUUUAUUUUACCGCUGUCGGCGCGAGCUGCUGCUGACGCGAUGCUUUAGCCAUGGACAGCAGGUUAAAAUCCGACAGUGCUGUGGAAGUUCCCUCAGGACUUUGGAGACCAGCCGCUCUGCUCGAAUAGGGACUCUAAAUGAGGGGCGAACAGACUGGAGGCUGGCACAGAGGGCGGCGAAAUAUGAAGUGCGGUCCCUCGGCCCCAGAGACUCGCCGUGGCCGCGGUCACCUACAGCUGCCAUGUGGAGCUCGAGCGCCGUAUAUAUCUGAAUCACAAGGAGGCCAUUUUUUGCAAAUGAAGCAGACAGAUGGAAAAGCGAGACUUUAUCGCCCCGAUCUCUCUCAGAUCUUUUUCCGGAUGUCAGUUUAAAGGGAGAAAUAAAAGAAAAUAAACAGAUAUGCAUAUGCGGGUUAUUCUCUCUUUUUUUUCUUGUUUCUGUGCUCGCCUUUAUUUGACAUGAUUUGAAGUUAUUUGAAAGGAUUUACUGUGAAGCGCCUUGUGUUUUCAUUGAUGGCGGGUUAAGCUUGUAAAUAACUGGAGAGAUUAGCUGUGAUUGUCUUUUACAGUGAACGUGUCUCAGUGCUGUGAACCCUUUAUAGUCUCGUGUGCUCGCCGGUUUGUGGUCGGUGUGUGAUCUCAACGGGAAGUUUCAUUUGUAAUUAUUGAGCAAGACUAAGAAAUCUCAAAUCACUUUUUUUCUUGAUGUUUCAUAGCAGCGUGCAGCAUAUUAGUGUGGCUUUUUAUUAGCACGUGCAGUUAUGGUUAUUAGCAGGCCCACAUGGAAUCUGUGCUCGCAGAAAGCUUGAAAGAUUUCCAUAGUAUUUAUCUGUCGUCCAUGUAUUUUUUACUAAUUUUAUCAUGCUUUCAGUUAGAUGUGAAUGUAGCACUCCAAGUUUUCUGUAACACAUUUCUCCUUGAUUCAGUUUUUGUGUUUGUCUGUUACAUCCUGUUCUCAACCAUACCAUCCAAAGGCAAAAGAUGAGAAAUAAAAUAAUUU
rnacentral:lncRNA from 1 species